rnacentral:rRNA from 1 species
UGGGUAACCUACCCUGUACACACGGAUAACAUACUGAAAGGUAUGCUAAUACGGGAUAAUAUAUUUGAGAGGCAUCUCUUGAAUAUCAAAGGUGAGCCAGUACAGGAUGGACCCGCGUCUGAUUAGCGAGUUGGUAAGGUACCGGCUUACCAAGGCGACGAUCAGUAGCCGACCUGAGAGGGUGAUCGGCCACAUUGGAACGGAGACACGGUCCACACGCCGACGGAAGGCAGAGGUGGGGAAGAUUGGCGCAUGGGCGAAAGCCAGAUGCCGCAACGCCGCGGGAGUGAUGAAGGCCUUCGGGUCGUAAAACUCUGUCCUCAAGGAAGAUAAUGACGGUACUUGAGGAGGAAGCCCCGGCU